ACUCCUACGGGAGGCAGCAGUGGGGAAUAUUGCACAAUGGAGGGAACUCUGAUGCAGCGACGCCGCGUGAGUGAAGAAGGUCUUCGGAUCGUAAAACUCUGUCCUUGGGGAAGAAAAGGACGGUAGCCAAGGAGGAAGCCCCCGCUAACUACGUGCCAGCAGCCGCGGUAAUA
rnacentral:rRNA from 1 species